rnacentral:rRNA from 1 species
UACGGAGGAUCCGAGCGUUAUCCGGAUUUAUUGGGUCUAAAGGGUGCGUAGGCGGGAUAAUAAGUCAGUGGUGAAAGUUUGCAGCUUAACUGUAAAAUUGCCGUUGAAACUGUUAUUCUUGAGAGUAGAUAAGGUAGGCGGAAUGUGUUGUGUAGCGGUGAAAUGCAUAGAUAUAACACAGAACCCCGAUUGCGAAGGCAGCUUACCGGGCUACAUCUGACGCUGAUGCACGAAAGCGUGGGGAUCAAACAGGAUUAGAUACCCGGGUAGU